AUAGAGAAUUUCAUUAAAAAUGCUAAUGAUAUAAAUUUCCAUGUGGAUAACAGAAAUAAAAUUAUUUAAAAAUUUUGCUCUUAUUUUGUCAAAUCUUCUCCGCAUCUUGCAAGAAAUGCCAAGUACAAACAGUCUUACUUUGUCAAAUUUGCUCUUAUUUUGGUCUUGUGUGGUUCAAGCUCUGAUUUAAAUCAUUUUGGGUGACACGCACGGUCAAAAAUAUUUUGAGGAUGAAUAGAAAAUUUGGUGGUGGAAGGCCGCCGACAGGGACUCCUUCACUGGCUUGGUCCUGUGUGGUUGUUGUCUGCUCUCUUCUUGCCGGUGCUUCCGUUGUUCACAAUAUCUAUAAGCCUAAUCUUACAUUGCCUCCGGUCGAUGGAGUUGAUAGGACGAAGCAGAAAACUGAUGAGAAAGAAUGAUCAUCUUCCCCAGAAUUCCUUUAAAAUUCGUGAGAUACCAAUCUCUGGAGCUUAAAGUUAAUAAUCAUCAGUAGUCUGAUAUACAAAAGUACAAAGGAUUCAGUUUGGAUGAGAAUAUUAUUUCAUUUAUAAAUUCCUUUGGA